CUAAAGAGGUAGGAAUUGAACCUACACCCAAGAGAUCAAAACCCUUGGUACUU
rnacentral:tRNA from 1 species